rnacentral:rRNA from 1 species
UACAGAGGGGGGCGAGCGUUAUUCGGAAUUAUUGGGCGUAAAGGGCGCGUAGGCGGCCUUUCAAGUGACGGGUGAAAAUCCCUCGGCUUAACCGAGGAACUGCCUGUCAGACUGGAAGGCUUGAGACCGGGAGAGGUGAGUGGAAUUCCCAGUGUAGCGGUGAAAUGCGUAGAUAUUGGGAGGAACACCAGUGGCGAAGGCGGCUCACUGGACCGGUACUGACGCUGAGGCGCGAAAGCGUGGGGAGCAAACAGG